AGUGAACGCUGGCGGUAGGCCUAACACAUGCAAGUCGAACGGCAGCACAGUAAGAGCUUGCUCCUACGGGUGGCGAGUGGCGGACGGGUGAGGAAUACAUCGGAAUCUACUUUUUCGUGGGGGAUAACGUAGGGAAACUUACGCUAAUACCGCAUACGACCUACGGGUGAAAGCAGGGGAUCUUCGGACCUUGCGCGAUUGAAUGAGCCGAUGUCGGAUUAGCUAGUUGGCGGGGUAAAGGCCCACCAAGGCGACGAUCCGUAGCUGGUCUGAGAGGAUGAUCAGCCACACUGGAACUGAGACACGGUCCAGACUCCUACGGGAGGCAGCAGUGGGGAAUAUUGGACAAUGGGCGCAAGCCUGAUCCAGCCAUACCGCGUGGGUGAAGAAGGCCUUCGGGUUGUAAAGCCCUUUUGUUGGGAAAGAAAAGCAGCAGGUUAAUACCCCGCUGUUCUGACGGUACCCAAAGAAUAAGCACCGGCUAACCUCGUG
rnacentral:rRNA from 1 species